rnacentral:rRNA from 1 species
UUGUUGGUGAGGUAAUGGCUCACCAAGGCGUCGACGGGUAGCCGGCCUGAGAGGGUGACCGGCCACACUGGGACUGAGACACGGCCCAGACUCCUACGGGAGGCAGCAGUGGGGAAUAUUGCACAAUGGGCGAAAGCCUGAUGCAGCAACGCCGCGUGAGGGACGACGGCCUUCGGGUUGUAAACCUCUUUUAGCAAGGAAGAAGCGAAAGUGACGGUACUUGCAGAAAAGGCGCCGGCUAACUACGUGCCAGCAGCCGCGGUAAUACGUAGGGCGCAAGCGUUAUCCGGAAUUAUUGGGCGUAAAGAGCUCGUAGGCGGUUUGUCGCGUCUGCUGUGAAAACCCGAGGCUCAACCUCGGGCCUGCAGUGGGUACGGGCAGACUAGAGUGCGGUAGGGGAGAUUGGAACUCCUGGUGUAGCGGUGGAAUGCGCAGAUAUCAGGAAGAACGCCGAUGGCGAAGGCAGAUCUCUGGGCCGUAACUGACGCUGAGGAGCGAAAGGGUGGGGAGCAAACAGGCUUAGAUACCCUGGUAGUCCACCCCGUAAACGUUGGGAACUAGUUGUGGGGUCCAUUCCACGGAUUCCGUGACGCAGCUAACGCAUUAAGUUCCCCGCCUGGGGAGUACGGAAUCUCUAGAGGAUCCCC